GAAGCCGCCCACUGACGCUGAUUCAUACUGAAGUGUGACAUGGGCUGGUGAUGAAAUGUGUAGAAUUCUUUCCACAACCGCCUGAAGGCAGGGCCCAUGGCCUUCUCCUGACCGAAGACUCUGGGUUCAGGCUCUGUAACUUCCAAGGCCAUGAGAGUGGUCAGGCCCUGCUUGGUCUCCCAGCCCCCGAUCACAGAUCAUGCUGGAACUGCUGGCCCCAACACCCAGAGGCGGCUGGCCCUUUCUUCAUGGAUUCUAGUCACAUCUGGUCCAUCUUUGCCAGCUGGCCUCUGGGAAGAAUGUGGGCUCGGCCACCUGGAGCAGUGGCCUGGGGAUAUCAGAGGAGCCCCGAGGGGUUGGCAGAGCACCCUCGUAGUAUCCAUACCCCGAUCCCUGUAGCUGA
rnacentral:sRNA from 1 species